UCAGCAGGACCAAGCGUCCAGAGCAGCACCACUCUCUCAAAAUCAUUUGAAAGUUCCUUGUCCAAUGCCUUGAGGAGAUCUUCUCCGUAGGUCUCAGCAUAAGUCUCCCUGAUCAGCUUGCGUUGAGCAGCAUUUCUGUGACCCAAUAUGGAUAUGAUCAAGCCCUCGUUUGUCCCCCAUCCUGAAAAGGCCUUUCUAAGCUGCUCACAGUCAUCGGCCACGGGUGGAGGUGGUUGAGGAACUAUAAGGUUAGACAUUGUCGAGUUCUUUCGAUCUUUCAACGAUCUGCGAAGCUCACUCUCUGGCUCUCUGCUCUGUUUAGACUCGAAAACGUCAAUGACGGAAGUGAUUAUAUUAGGAAAGCGGGGCC
rnacentral:misc_RNA from 1 species